ensembl:lncRNA
GGGGUGGAGCCUGGCUGCACCUCUCUUAGACCUCAUUUAAGGGCUGAUUGUCUCUGGGGAAAGAUCUCUGGUUGGAGAUCCCUCUCUUGUGGAUUUUUCUCUGUGAGCCUCUAUCUUCAGAGACGGGUCAUGGUAGUUUAUAGACAAGCUGCAUCAGAGGAAAUGUGAAGAACUGGUAAGGAUUUGACCUGAUGCACAGAAGCUUUUUAGAAGUCCUGGUGUAUCCUCAGCUGCCUGAGUCAACGUGAGCUUUGUUCCUGACCUUGGUGAACUCAGGACUUCACUGUUGUGUACAUUUGCUGCCUAACAGAUAAGCUGACUGACCUCAGAGUCCACUUGGCUGUAGCUGAAUCUGAACUGCACAUAAUCACUUGAAAAACAAAAGUGAAAAGCCAGUAGAAGUGUGGUUUCUGGACAAGGCAUGGAACUGUGGCAGAUCUGCUUCCAGGUCUGCUAGAAACAUCAGCUGUGAUUUAAUGCAGGUCACUUUGCUCCUCCAUACCUCCCUUUCUCAUCUGAGCAAAUGGAGAUAGCAGUGCUUAUGCUUCAUUUGGCAGCUGUUUCUUCCUAUUGUCCAUCCACUGAGCAGGGCUGCUCUUUGUUUAAGAUUCACCCAGUGUGAGAGUGAUACGGUCUUGCUUGAGGUCUAUGGAGCCUUUAGCAGUAGUAACGCAGACAAGCAGUUAACUAAACCAGAAACAAGUAUUCAAACAAUAUGCCUGUGAGGUUUUUCUCUCCGUUGGAUUUCAUGAUGUAUUUUUUUUUCUUUGAUUUACUUCAUACCUCUAGGAAUAUUUGUUUAGCUUUUACAUGACAUUACAGCUUUCUUAGAAAAUCAGAACGUGGCUCUGAGUAAUCAGAUGGCUAAUGCCUUUAUUAUUGUUUCUUUUCAUGUAAUAAUCUGUAGCCUUGACAAAUACCUACUUCAGGCAAUAAACGUAUUCAAG